GACGAACGCUGGCGGCGUGCUUAACACAUGCAAGUCGAGCGGUAAGGCCCUUUCGGGGGUACGACGAGCGGCGAACGGGUGAGUAACACGUGGGUGACCUGCCCUCAGCUCUGGGAUAAGCCUGGGAAACCGGGUCUAAUACCGGAUAUGACUCCAUGACGCAUGUUGUGGGGUGGAAAGCCUUGUGCGGCUGAGGAUGGGCCCGCGGCCUAUCAGCUUGUUGGUGGGGUGAUGGCCUACCAAGGCGACGACGGGUAGCCGGCCUGAGAGGGCGACCGGCCACACUGGGACUGAGACACGGCCCAGACUCCUACGGGAGGGCAGCAGUGGGGAAUCUUGCGCAAUGGGCGAAAGCCUGACGCAGCGACGCCGCGUGAGGGAUGAC
rnacentral:rRNA from 1 species